rnacentral:rRNA from 1 species
UACGAGGGGGGCAAAUGUUGUUCGGAAUCACUGGGCGUAAAGGGAGCGUAGGCGGGUUCUUAAGUAAGGUGUUUAAUCCCGGGGCCCAACCCCGGACCGGCACUUUAAACUGGGAAUCUUGAAUAGUGGAGAGGUCGGUGGAAUUGGGGGUGUAGCGGUGGAAUGCGUAGAGAUCCCCAAGAACACCAGUUGCGAAGGCGGCCGACUGGACACAUAUUGACGCUGAGGCUCGAAAGCAUGGGGAGCGAACAGG